ACGGGUGAGUAAUGCCUAGGAAUCUGCCUGGUAGUGGGGGAUAACGUUCGGAAACGAACGCUAAUACCGCAUACGUCCUACGGGAGAAAGCAGGGGACCUUCGGGCCUUGCGCUAUCAGAUGAGCCUAGGUCGGAUUAGCUAGUUGGUGAGGUAAUGGCUCACCAAGGCGACGAUCCGUAACUGGUCUGAGAGGAUGAUCAGUCACACUGGAACUGAGACACGGUCCAGACUCCUACGGGAGGCAGCAGUGGGGAAUAUUGGACAAUGGGCGAAAGCCUGAUCCAGCCAUGCCGCGUGUGUGAAGAAGGUCUUCGGAUUGUAAAGCACUUUAAGUUGGGAGGAAGGGCAGUUACCUAAUACGUAAUUGUUUUGACGUUACCGACAGAAUAAGCACCGGCUAACUCUGUGCCAGCAGCCGCGGUAAUACAGAGGGUGCAAGCGUUAAUCGGAAUUACUGGGCGUAAAGCGCGCGUAGGUGGUUCGUUAAGUUGGAUGUGAAAUCCCCGGGCUCAACCUGGGAACUGCAUUCAAAACUGUCGAGCUAGAGUAUGGUAGAGGGUGGGUGGAAUUUCCUGUGUAGCGGUG
rnacentral:rRNA from 1 species